rnacentral:rRNA from 1 species
UACGUAGGGGGCAAGCGUUGUCCGGAAUCACUGGGCGUAAAGCGCGUGUAGGCGGUUCAGUAAGUCUGCUGUGAAAGUCCAGGGCUCAACCCUGGGAUGCCGGUGGAUACUGCUGGGCUAGAGUAUGGGAGAGGGUAGUGGAAUUCCCGGUGUAGCGGUGAAAUGCGUAGAUAUCGGGAGGAACAUCAGUGGCGAAGGCGGCUACCUGGCCCUAUACUGACGCUCAGGUGCGACAGCGUGGGGAGCAAACAGG